CUUAUUUAGCUAUAGAAAGAGUUGUCUUUUGAAUGAAUAAAUGAAUGAUUUAGGAGGGAUAGUUGGAAAAGUCUGAAAAUCUGUGUGCUUUAGAGGAAAAUAAUGAGAUUACUUAUCUUAAAUGUCAAACUAAAGAAUUGGAAAUUAAAGUGGUUUGCCAAUUUAAUUUCUGAUUCCAAUCGAAUUACUUUGAUUUGGAAGCCAUUUUUACUGAGAGAAUGGUUUGUUAAGAAUGUUGUCUUUGAAAGUUUCAUUCAUCUAGGUGGAAAGGUGGGACUCUAGUAGAGUUAAAAGCUUAGAAAUCAGGAAAGUACAUAAGAACUUCAACUUGAGUAAGCUACUCAAUUUUUAUUAAUGUAAAUGAGCAAUCCUUUCCAUCCCUCCUCUCUUUUCCCUCUCUCACAUAUAACACUGGGCUCAUGAAGGAUC
rnacentral:lncRNA from 1 species